rnacentral:lncRNA from 1 species
CCAAAUAUCCCUUUAAAGAGGCAAUCUUCAAGAUCCACAAAUUCAUGAGAUAUUCAUAAAGAAAUCAAAUAUCUCUAGAUAAUUCCAUAAACUUAUGGAAUAUCACAAAAGGAUCAAAAUCUAUCUCUUCUUGAUAAUCAAAUACAUCAAGAAGAUCUAAUCUCUUGAUAAUCAAAUACAUCACGAAGAUCCACAAAUCCUCUUUUCAUGGAGAUCAAAUCCAAAUAUUCCUACAUUGGAGAAAUACACUACUCACGAUCUUUAAAUUACGGAGAAAAUUAAGAAAGAAGAAUCAAUGGAGGAACAGAUUUGUACCCACUUCGUCUAUCAAUAAAAUUGUUGUUUCUUCAUAUUUUUAUUUGUGGUUGAAGUUUAUUUUCCAUGAAUUAAAUUAUUUUGCAAACAGAUAUAUGAAAAUAUCUUAAUUCAAAUAAGAUGGUAUAGCUAUUACACAUUGUUGGAUUGAGUUAUUAUUUUCUAUAUUUGAUGAAAGCAUGAAUCUUAUAUCCACAUUUGUUAUAUCCAUAAUUUAUAAUCUAUAUCUAUAUCUAUAAUCUAUAAUUUAUAUCUAUAAUAUAUUAAAAGUGUGAAUUUAUAUCUAUAAUAUACUAAAAGUCUAAAAACCCUUAGAAAAGUGAUUUGAACUUUUGUCCUUCAUUAAAAACUAUCAUUUAGACAAAACUGUUUCUUCACCAUUUUCUUUAAUUUACUAUUUAAUUUUUUUAAUUAUAGUAUCUAGACUCCUGAAAUAUAUAGGACUCCUAAAAUAUAAGGAAGAUGAAUCAAUUAAUUUUUUUUUUACUGGUCAAUUAGAAAAAUACUCCUAAAAUAUGGCUCUAUUAAGGAAACACUUCUAUAAAUAUUAAGAUGCACAUUAAUGUAGAGAAGAAAUCGAUUUACCUAUUGGGAGAAUAUAAUGGAUGUUUAUCUAAGCCAUCUGAUCAAAAGCUUUAAUUUGGUCUGUCGUAAUUUUUCAGUAACAAACAGAUUACGUAUGAUAUAUAUUUUUGUUUUUAUGUUAUUACAAAGAGAGAUAGAAGGAAGUUGAAUUUGUUGCACCUCAUUGCAAUCUCUAUUUUUUGUCCUGAUUUAUGGGAGGUGUUAUGGUAAUAAAGUGAGCUUCGCCAUGAAAAUUAUGAAUAUUUAAAAAUUAAUUUCUUUUAAAUGAUAUUCAAAAAUUAGAGUUGUGUAUCAAUAUUUUUAAUCUAUAAUCUAUAUCUCAUUCUUUAGGGUCAAAAUUUUCACUCGGACAAGAAUUUCUAUCAAAAUCGAAGCUUUGUGAUCACUAUUAUAUUGUUUUGUUGUAGUUUACAAGUCGCAGAUGAAUGUUGGUUGGAAGAAUUUCUUGUGUAAAGGUUAGAUUUAAUUGUAUUAUUUUGAUAUUUUUAUUUUCUUAUUGUUUUAUUUAUGUUUAAUUGUAUUGUUUUGAUAUCUCUUUUAUCAUAUUGUAUUGUUAUAGUUUACAAGUAGUAGAUAAAUAUCGAUCGACUUUGAAGAAUUUUUAAAGGUAAAAGUGAGGUUUAAUUGUAUUGCUUAGAUAUCUCUACUUUGAUUUUUUUUUGUGUGUGUGUGUAUAAAGAUUAGAUUUGGUUGUAUUAUUUUGGUAUCUUUAUUUUCGUAUUAUUCUGUUAUAGUUUAAGGUUUUGUCUAAAAAUUAGAUUUAAUUACAUUAUUUUGAAUUUUGAUGUCUCUAUCAUUAAAUUAUUUUGUUGCAGUUUACAGGUGG